rnacentral:rRNA from 1 species
UACGGAGGGAGCUAGCGUUGUUCGGAAUUACUGGGCGUAAAGCGCACGUAGGCGGCUUUGUAAGUUAGAGGUGAUAGCCUGGAGCUCAACUCCAGAAUUGCCUUUAAGACUGCAUCGCUUGAAUCCAGGAGAGGUGAGUGGAAUUCCGAGUGUAGAGGUGAAAUUCGUAGAUAUUCGGAAGAACACCAGUGGCGAAGGCGUCUCACUGGACUGGUAUUGACGCUGAGGUGCGAAAGCGUGGGGAGCAAACAGGAUUAGAUACCCUG